rnacentral:rRNA from 1 species
CCUACGGGUGGCAGCAGUGAGGAAUAUUGGUCAAUGGGCGGGAGCCUGAACCAGCCAAGCCGCGUGAGGGAAGAAGGUACAGCGUAUCGUAAACUUCUUUUGUCAGGGAACAAAGUCGGGGACUAGUCCCCGGCUGAGGGUACCUGAAGAAAAAGCAUCGGCUAACUCCGUGCCAGCAGCCGCGGUAAUCCGGGGGAUGCGAGCGUUAUCCGGAUUGAUUGGGUUUAAAGGGGGCGUAGGCGGGGAUGCAAGUGGGGUGUCAAUACUACCGGCUCACGUGGUAGUCGCACUCAAAACUGCAGCGCUGGAAUGAAGUUGAGGCAGGCGGAAUUCCUAGUGUAGCGGUGAAAUGCGUAGAUAUUAGGAAGAACACCAAUGGCGAAGGCAUCCUGCUAAGCUGUGACUGACGCUGAGGCACGAAAGUGUGGGGAGCAAACAGGAUUAGAUACCCUGGUAGUC